ACACAACACGCUUUUGAAUGAUCACUCAGCCAUACUGCCAGCUAACAUCUCCCUCAAUUACUGAACAGUUUUAAAGCCACACGUUAUUGACUUAUUGAUGUUGCCAUCCCCGAAGUCAGGCUUCACGAUGACCUUUCAAAACCCGUUGACUUCCAGAUUUAUUUGUCUAUUUUUUUCUUAUUAUUUUUCAAACACUGCGCUAAACUGGGCUUUCUGAUUCUUGUUCUUUUUCUCGUUGUUAUUGCUGUUCUUUUCCCUCUUCUUUUCGGUCCCUGCAAACUAUUCUAUGCCAAACUUUAAGACAAAUAACCCAGUGGCCCCCAAGUCACUCUUGCUUCCAUAAAGCUUUAUAUUAAUUUCUAUCGUCUUUAGCCACGUCAUGUAUCUGUCCUUCAGGAGAGUAGAAUUUUAAUUCUAGGGUCUGGUGUUCUACUCUGCAGACAUUGGUUAUUACCAGCUUCAACUUGAACAGGUGAGCAAUGUUUUAGUCGCCAACACCUUGUGUGUAGCCAAAGGGUCACUAUAGCUGUUGCCAAAGGGUGGUUCAUAAAGGGGAAAAGGAUAGCAGUCGCAUGGUGUUACUGCCGUCACAAGGUGGUAAUGCAACUUCGGAGGCAGCUAUGGCCCAGAAGAAAAAUGGGAUCUUGAAGUCACAAAACAAACCCCGAUAGUCAACAUAUGACCUGUAAAAGUCCAAGUUAAUCUCGGAGGAUUUUCUGUACUUGUGCGCAUCGCUAACAAGACCAGCGAAUGGAGAAGGUUGAGGAGGAGGAGGAGAAAUGACGUAGAAAUGGAGUUACCGCCCAGUGUCACACGUCCUCUUGAAAUAUACCGACGAAGGAGGACUGCGGCUGGAACCUCUUGUCCUUGCCUGGGGUGACCGUAGUGCAUGCACGCCAAAAGUGCAGCCGCGGUAUUUCUCACCUCUUGGGGUUGGGGUAGGUGCGAGACCCCAGUAUUCGCAUACGAUGUACUUUCCGCCACUCCCGCCCAUUGCUCACCCAGCCCGAGCAAACUUUUUCCAAAAGGCUAGUGCCUUUAUUUACUGUACCACAUAAAACGGUAGAUCCUUCGUUUAGGAUAUAUAUUUUUUAAGGGGGGAAAAAGUUAACUGGCAGGGGAAAAAGAAUUGUUCCACAGAAAUAGGCGAUUGCUGCUCGUGGAAAAUAUAUUGUUAUAUGUAUAUAGAACUAUUAAUACUUCCUAUGAAGAGAAGCGAUUUUAAUAUUUGUAAGCAAGUUUGAGGCCUGUGUCGGAGAUUCUUAGAGGCAAUCUGCAAUGAGACAGGCAGAAGCUGCUUUAACAUUUACGAUGAUUUGAAAUAAGAAAUCGUCCCUUGAAACUCUUUGCUUUCCAUUUCUCUCUCUCUCUGUGUUUUGAAAAAUGAUAUAGGCUGAUUUUAUAUGCUGCUUCACUUUGUUAAUGGUAUUCUUCAGGUCAUAACGACGAAGUCGAUGACUAUAAAGAUGUCAAGUGUCAUCCAUGUGUGUGAAAGGAGUAAACAUCCUCUACUGCUUAGUGGGUUGGUAGCGAGUGUCUAUACUGAACAGGAUUGAUUACAGAAUGUUUUGAACCAUGAGGAUUCUCUGAAGUCUCGGUAAAGAAAGGAGUGUGAAACAAAAACUUUAUGAAAAUCUUCAAAGAAUGGUGGAUUGUUACAAGCAGGAUUGAUGUAGUUAACUGAAUAGCAGUGAUCGCUUCUCAAAAUGCCGUUCGUUCAAGUCUCUGUUGCAGCCAGAAAAAUACUUGUCAUAUCUUACUAUAAAUACUUUUCUUAAUUCUGUGCAAAUAUUGAAGACGCUGAACACUUUUUGAUGGAUUGUUGAUGCUUUACAAGACAAGUAUCUGUGUAGGUAUUGUAAAAACACACAAUUACCUCAGAUUACUCGUUCUGUGGGAAUGUACAUUUACCAUACAUUGAGUGUCAGAGUAGAGUGAUAAAAUGCAAACAAAAAAUGUCAACAGCUGCCAUUGUCAUAGUGAUAUAGUUCUUAAGAUUCUGACUGCUGUGUAAAAAGUUUUGUUGAUUGGUAUCAUUGUUGUAUUUGACACCCGAGUAUAAAGGUAGUGUUCUUAUGUUCGUAAAGUUUUAGUUCUCC